rnacentral:rRNA from 1 species
UACGAAGGGGGCUAGCGUUGCUCGGAAUCACUGGGCGUAAAGCGCACGUAGGCGGAUUGUUAAGUCAGGGGUGAAAUCCUGGAGCUCAACUCCAGAACUGCCUUUGAUACUGGCGAUCUCGAGUCCGGGAGAGGUGAGUGGAACUGCGAGUGUAGAGGUGAAAUUCGUAGAUAUUCGCAAGAACACCAGUGGCGAAGGCGGACUCACUGGCCCGGUACUGACGCUGAGGUGCGAAAGCCGGUGGGAGCAAG